UACGUAGGGAGCCAGCGUUGUCCGGAUUUACUGGGCGUAAAGAGCGCGUAGGCGGUUUAGUAAGCGGAGGGUGAAAUCCCGGGGCUCAACUCCGGGGCUGCUCUCCGAACUGCUAGACUAGAGUACGGGAGAGGAUAGUGGAAUUCCUGGUGUAGCGGUGGAAUGCGUAAAUAUCAGGAGGAACACCCGUGGCGAAGGCUGCUAUCUGGAACGUUACUGACGCUGAGGCGCGAAAGCUAGGGGAGCGAACGGG
rnacentral:rRNA from 1 species